rnacentral:rRNA from 1 species
UACGUAGGGUGCAAGCGUUAAUCGGAAUUACUGGGCGUAAAGCGUGCGCAGGCGGUUUUGUAAGACUGUCGUGAAAUCCCCGGGCUUAACCUGGGAAUGGCGAUGGUGACUGCAAGGCUAGAGUUUGGCAGAGGGGGGUAGAAUUCCACGUGUAGCAGUGAAAUGCGUAGAGAUGCGGAGGAACACCGAUGGCGAAGGCAGCCCCCUGGGCCAACACUGACGCUCAGGCACGAAAGCGUGGGGAGCAAACAGG